GGGCGCAAGCCUGAUGCAGCCAUGCCGCGUGUGUGAAGAAGGCCUUCGGGUUGUAAAGCACUUUCAGUCGUGAGGAAGGUGGUGGUGUUAAUAGCUGUAUCAUUUGACGUUAGCGACAGAAGAAGCACCGGCUAACUCCGUGCCAGCAGCCGCGGUAAUACGGAGGGUGCGAGCGUUAAUCGGAAUUACUGGGCGUAAAGCGCAUGCAGGUGGUUUGUUAAGUCAGAUGUGAAAGCCCGGGGCUCAACCUCGGAAUAGCAUUUGAAACUGGCAGACUAGAGUACUGUAGAGGGGGGUAGAAUUUCAGGUGUAGCGGUGAAAUGCGUAGAGAUCUGAAGGAAUACCGGUGGCGAAGGCGGCCCCCUGGACAGAUACUGACACUCAGAUGCGAAAGCGUGGGGAGCAAACAGGAUUAGAUACCCUGGUAGUCCACGCCGUAAACGAUGUCUACUUGGAGGUUGUGGCCUUGAGCCGUGGCUUUCGGAGCUAACGCGUUAAGUAGACCGCCUGG
rnacentral:rRNA from 1 species